rnacentral:rRNA from 1 species
GUUAGCAGCCAUAGCACCUGCAGUUCAGCCUAAGCAAUCCAUCUGAAGCUACGCAGGUUUGGGCCUGGCCAGUACUUGGAUGGGAGACCAAUUAUGAAAGCUGGGUAUCUGCUGGAA